rnacentral:rRNA from 1 species
GAUGAACGCUGGCGGCGUGCUUAACACAUGCAAGUCGAACGAACCUUCGGGUAGUGGCGGACGGGCGAGUAACGCGUGGGAAUCUGCCCUCAGGAGGGGGAUAACGGUUGGAAACGGCCGCUAAUACCCCAUAUGCCGAGAGGUGAAAUGAAUUUCGCCUGAGGAUGAGCCCGCGUCUGAUUAGCUAGUUGGUGAGGUAAGAGCUCACCAAGGCAUCGAUCAGUAGCUGGUCUGAGAGGAUGAUCAGCCACACUGGGACUGAGACACGGCCCAGACUCCUACGGGAGGCAGCAGUGGGGAAUUUUCCGCAAUGGGCGAAAGCCUGACGGAGCAACGCCGCGUGAGGGAUGAAGGCCUCUGGGCAGUAAACCUCUUUUAUCAAGGAAGAAGAUCUGACGGUACUUGAUGAAUAAGCCACGGCUAAUUCCGUGCC